UUUAGAUUACUUGGUCAUGCUUUUGGAGCAAAAGUUUCCGGCCAUACUGCAACUUGAGGAAGAAAUGGGAGAUGUUAGGACAGCUGCUAAAAUCAGUCUUGUAGAGUUAGAAAAAGACGUAAAGAAUUUUAAAACAAAACUCAAAACAGUUGAAAAGGACCAUGAUUAUCAGUGUAAAAAGAAGGAUAUAUUAUC